AGUCACAUUGAAACCGAAAACUGGACGCUGAAAUUUUUUUCUUCUCCUAUUCUGCUUGUGGGAAAAGAAAUAUGUGUAAUAAAACGCUGAGCCCUGAAGGCUAGUGGUCAAAUACUAAACGCAGAAGGGCGAAGUCCUUGAGCAGGAAACGGCAAGGGUUCGUUAAACUUUCAACGCCAGCUAAGCCCGAUACGAGUCCUGAUUCCAGUCUCCCUUUUCUGCUUAGCUUCUAGAAGGCGUAUGGCGAUGGAAGGGAGGCCAGCUCGUGCGUUGCUUUCUGGCUACGCACAUAAUAUCGACGCACUUUUUAAAAGUCUCUGGUUCCACCAUUUGUAUUUGGUGCGUCACUCCUGCCAGCUUAUGGGUAUCGUCUGGCGGUGAGGCGCAGAAAAAAGGAAAUGUGAAAAGAAAAAAACGUAAAAAAAACUGCCUGAAGCAACCACCACAUACAACAUCAGCAUCAAAUGGAGUGCAGAGGGGAAGGCUUUAAAGUGGUAUAAUGUGGUAGCAACCCAGUCAAAGACCUAAACAAAAGAAACCCCAGACGAAAUCUCGCCUUUUGCCCAUGUGCGUGUGCGCUCCACUCGUCCCCCCAAGAGAUUUGUCUAAAGCUCCUUGGACUUCCUGGUGCGUAACGCGAUAGCCUGGCGCACUUCAAUCAAUUCAAAUUCCUUGAGCUUGUCUUGGCCCCAGCGCUCACAUUUUAAUUGCCCGGCGGGCGGAGGUAGCUUAACCCAUAAAUUAUAAACAUUUGCCU
ensembl:ncRNA lncRNA:CR44510 long non-coding RNA:CR44510